GACGAAUGCUGGCUGCGUGCUUAACACAUGCAAGUCGAACGGUGAAGGAGGGCUUGCCCUCCGGAUCAGUGGCGAACGGGUGAGUAACACGUGGGCAACCUGCCCCUCACUCUGGGAUAACGCCGGGAAACCGGCGCUAAUACCGGAUACGACCAGGCGCGACAUCUCGCCUGGUGGAAAGAAUUUCGGUGAGGGAUGGGCCCGCGGCCUAUCAGCUUGUUGGUGGGGUAACGGCCCACCAAGGCGACGACGGGUAGCCGGCCUGAGAGGGCGACCGGCCACACUGGGACUGAGACACGGCCCAGACUCCUACGGGAGGCAGCAGUGGGGAAUAUUGCGCAAGGGGCGAAAGCCUGACGCAGCGACGCAGCGUGAGGGACGAAGGCCUUCGGGUUGUAAACCUCUUUCAGCGGGGACGAAGCGAAAGUGACGGUACCCGCAGAAGAAGCACCGGCUAACUACGUGCCAGCCGCCGCGGUAA
rnacentral:rRNA from 1 species